CUCUCUCUCUCUCUCUCUGUCUCUCUCUCUCUCUGUGAGGGUAUGUGAACAGAGAGAACAUAUUUGACCGCUAUAACUCUCGUUUAAGAAUUAAUGAAAGUGUAGCGAAAGCUUUUUAUAUUUCCGCAGCACUGUGUUAUUUAUUUUAACAGUCUUGAAAACACACCGUGCACUCAACGAAUGAUUUUACCACGUAUUCAGAUUUUAUUCGAUAUUUGCUCGAUUAGCGCCGAUCAUGGCGGAUUUCAUCAGCAACGGAGAUCUGUUGACGCUACCUACUGUUUAAAUUAAAUUAUCGGGCGCAUCUGCCGUUUUCUCAUUAUUGCUGGAUCAAAUCGUUUUCUUCGCAAUUUCUUCUUCACAAAUUACGCAGGUCAGAUACGAAUUAAGAGCACAAUUAGUAAAUGUAAUUAACAAUAAAACAGGGAUUUGUCAAUAUGUUUCCUAUUCCCGCAGGAAGUUCUCAGUUAUUUUUCCCGCGUAUCAAAUAUUAAAUUAUCGCAAUCUAAAUUUGAUAGCACGAAAUGGGAAUUGAAAGAACGCUGACAGCCAUCCGGUUCACUAUUGUUAGGAUUCACGAGUUCUUUAAUAAAGUUGCUUCCGGGUAGUGUGACUUUCCAUUUCUCUGAAAUAAGGUGCUUCACAACCUAAGAACUUCUCGGUCUACAACCCCCCAAAGAACUUCCAUGGAAAAUGUGUUUGUAGAGAAAGGCAUAAAGCUGAAAUAUUCAUCACUAGCAAAUUCACGCUGUUGCUUGUUCUUGCCAGAACUUUACAUGUAAUAUUUUAAAAUAAUUCUCUUUCUCUCUAUCUAUCUGUUAAUUUAUAAUUCCUACUUAUCUCUCCCAAUAUAUGAAUAAUUUUCGUCCAUUUGUGUAAAUCUUAUUAUAUAAAUAUUAUAUAAUUAUAAAUUUUCUGCAAAUUAAUCUAUAUAUCUAGUGGCAUAUAGUACGAAAAUAUUAUUCUACAUAAUGGAGACAGAAAAUAGAUAGAAGCAGAGUGUAACUGCAGAAGAAAUUUCUCAAGGGAUUGAACUAAAUAUAGACCGCAAAUCAAUGCUUUUUCGUAGAAGAAACAUAAUUUAAAAAAAGAUUUAUUCACAAAUUAAGGAAAUCUAUAGCAAAUUUUACUGUUUAUUAACCAUUUUAAUAUCAUUGCGUAUAUACAUAUAGGAUUAUGUAAAUAAAAAAUGCGCAUAAAUUAAAAAGUGUACUUAUUUGAAUUUAUAACCAUUACGUAUCUAUAUGUAAUGUUUUUUGCAAAAAAAUUAAUAAAUAUUAAAUUUUAUAACAAUCACUAGUGGAAAAAGUCAUCUAUACAUUCAUAUAUACUAUACAUUGUCGUCAUAAAACUUUUUUCUUUUUAUAAACCGUAUUCUUGAUAAAAUUUUAAAAGUAAAUUUUGUAUGCAAGUCUCAAAUAUAAAAAUAUCUCUUCUGAUUUAAUUGUGUCUUGAAAUUUGAGUUUAUCUUGAGGUAUGUAUAAUUCCUUUAUUUUAGAUAGCUGUUAUUUAAAUUUAGUUUUCCAAAAUUAAAUUCUGCCCUUUAUUUUAACAAUACUACAGAAAAGUUCUUUUCUAACUAUUGCUUCAAUAUCAAAUGUACUAAUAAAUAAAUUUUUACGGAAACAGUCGACAAAUUUGUCGAACCUAACUCAUAAAUGUAGCCUGUUCGUGUGCGGCAGCGAUUGUGUGUUAAUUUUAAUGUUUAUGAUAAUUUAUGGUAAGCUUAGUGGAUAAUGAAGCAAAAACUAGGCAGUUCUCAAGCAUUAUCUCUAUUAAAUUUAAAUCAAGAAUUUAAUGCAGAUGAAUCAAUCUUAAACUAUCAAAGAACUGCGCAAGAGUAGUAUUUUAUUUGAAUAUACUGCGCAAGAAACUUCGAUAAUACGUAGAGUUAAAAACUUGACAGUUAAAAACUGAUUUGGAAACAUCUGUCUACUCAAGAACACAUCGAGGUUUCACACUACGUCGACGAUAAAAGUAUACAUUUAUUCCGUAUCGUAUGAAAGAAUACGCGCGCUCUCCUCUGAGGCACCACAUGACCAUUUUGUUUUUUGGUACAUCCACACGAAGGAUCUUUUCCCGCACAAGUUUUUUUUCCGAAUCGUCACUUAAACUAAAUAAAUAAAUAAAUAAAUAAAAGAAGAAGAAAUGUAAUCUAUGCGUCGUAGAGGUUCAAGCUGUCGCCCCGAACGUUUUCAUUUCCAGUCACCGUUCCCCAGUCGCGUUACAUUUCUUCGUAAAGGAUAAAUAUCGCAGCUGUGAUGGCAUCCCCCAUGGGAUGCGCGGCGAUGCGUGGUUACGCGUGGGAAGAAUCGGAGUGAGACGAGACAGGAGAUGGAAAGGUGGUCGUCGUCGUACGUUGGUGGUUUUCUCUCUGAUAUUCACGACCUCGCCGACACCGGGGUGUAUUAAGACGGCGUGUCGCGCAACUAGCAUAUACUCCGUAAUUCACGAUAGGCGGAAACAAACACGUGUGCCACGAGGUCGCGACCGAAGUGGUCCCGGAUAGAAAAUUGCUACGAACUUCUUGUGUAAAGCGCGAUGUAUACGCGCGACGACGUCGGAAAUGAAUUAUUCAUGCCGAGUGAAAAGUGUCGGCGAAUCGGUAUCAUCGCGUGAAAGUUGAAAUUCUGAAACACAUUCCACGUUAUGUUGUUAUCUCGCGACGACUAAACGAGGCGGUGGAGGAAAGAAGGGAUCGUGUCGACUAAGCAAUUAAUAGGGGAGAGAUUGAAAAAAGACAAAUUAUACGUAAAGGGCAAAAUUAAUAAUGCAAAAUUCCUCGUGAUACGAAAUCUCAAUGAUAAGAGAACAAUAAGGGCGAAUAUCAGUGUGUGUUGAAAAUUUACAUCAAUAUAUUACGCUGUCAAACGCGCAUGAAACUAAUUAAUAUGGAUUUUAUUAAAUCCAAUGAAGAAUACUCAGUAUAAUUAAUGUAAAAUAUAUACCUUUUUACAUUUUAACAUAUCAAUAUUAUAGUAAUUAAUCAAUACUUUUAAUUGUGUUAUAAAGAUGGAAUAUGAUAUUAUAUUAUUUACAAUUAUAAUUGUGACCGUCGGUCAUUUUUGAUAGCCAAUAACAAUUUCGAUUGUAAACUUAUAUUACGCAAUGUGGCGAGAAUGAUAGUCUUUUAACAAUUAUCUGUCUUUGAAAAUGUAACAUAAGUAACAUUAAGGGAAUGCUGGGGUCGUCUGUUUUAUAUUAUUUUUUAUAUCUAAACAGAAAUUUUACAAAAGAAAAAAAA